AGUAUGUUUACUUAUUACUAGUUGAUAGUUUGUUUAAAUUCAAAUUAUAUUAUUUGUUUAGGUUUGUUUACAUAUAUGUGGGAAAUGCACCACUGACUCGACGCGGACAUACUUACGUACCUUAAAAAUACAACACUGCGACAAUGACGCGACUAUAACAUGACAACACUGACAGAACAAAAAACGAAAACGAAGAACUAAAGUGAAGCACAGUUAACCGUGAACUCUCACACGAAACAGAUCAAUCUCUUGUCCUAAGCUACGCGCAAUUCAUAUUACAUAUACUUGUAUAGAUGUUACUCUAAGUUAAAAUGAAUAAACUUUAUUAAAUUAAAUAUGAACCCAGUGCAUUUUAAUUAAAAGUGAAAGACAGUGUGUUAAGUAAAAGACGUUGUGUGAAAUAAAGACAAACUACAAAUGGUGUCAGAUAGUGGAAUAAAAAGACAAACUACAUAUAUAUUGUUUGCUUAAAUACAUUUGUUUUGUUUUAAGAUAAGGUUGUUGUUUUAGGAUUGUUUGUUGUAGUGAUUUGUUACCUAAAUGCGAUGAAAAAAAGUUUCUUUCAUCUCUUGAAUUAUUUGAAUGAGUGCGAAGGAGAAAACAUUAUUGUCAAUAGUGACAAUAGAAAAUCCCAAAAAGGGUAAUAAAAAAACGAUUGAUAGCCGCAUGUCGUUCGUGAUUGUACCAUCGUAAAGGAGGCUCGUACGACAAGAAGCAUUGGACAUUGGAAGUAGCAGCAGCAGCUAUAUCAUCAGAAGCGGCAAAUAUCAAUUGUUAAAUAUUAUUAUGAUUUUUAUUUAAUUAUUCUUUCUUUUCAGAUAUUAUCACUAUUUUUAUUUAAUUAACCUUUGCUUUCAGAGUAAAU